rnacentral:rRNA from 1 species
UACGAAGGGGGGCUAGCGUUGCUCGGAAUCACUGGGCGUAAAGGGUGCGUAGGCGGGUCUUUAAGUCAGGGGUGAAAUCCUGGAGCUCAACUCCAGAACUGCCUUUGAUACUGAAGAUCUUGAGUUCGGGAGAGGUGAGUGGAACUGCGAGUGUAGAGGUGAAAUUCGUAGAUAUUCGCAAGAACACCAGUGGCGAAGGCGGCUCACUGGCCCGAUACUGACGCUGAGGUGCGAAAGCGUGGGGAGCAAACAGGG